rnacentral:rRNA from 1 species
GAUGAACGCUGGCGGCGUGCCUAAUACAUGCAAGUAGAACGCUGAGGCUUGGUGCUUGCACCGAGCGGGUGAGUUGCGAACGGGUGAGUAACGCGUAGGUAACCUGUCUCUUAGCGGGGGAUAACUAUUGGAAACGAUAGCUAAUACCGCAUAAAAGUCGAUAUCGCAUGAUAUUGUUUUGAAAGGUGCAAGUGCAUCACUAAGAGAUGGAACUGCGUUGUAUUAGCUUGUUGGUGAGGUAACGGCUCACCAAGGCGACGAUAAGUAGCCGACCUGAGAGGGUGAUCGGCCACACUGGAACUGGACACGGGCCAGGCUCCCACGGGAGGCAGCAGGAGGGAAUCUUCGGGAAUGGGGGCAACCCUGACCGAGGAACGCCGCGUGGGUGAAGGAGGGUUUCGGAACGGAAAGCUCUGUUGUAAGGGAAGAAAGAGAGGGGGAGUGGAAAGUGCACACUGUGACGGUAACUUACCAGAAAGGGACGGCUAACUACGUG